AUGAGUCGGGGUGAGUACUCCUCUCAAUUUUCCACCUCUGAGCUGUGUGUUGCAGGAGAGGGAGGUUCCCAGCUGCAUCUCGUUGGCAAUCAGCGGGCCCGGCCACAUAAGGAGGAAGGAGAACACACCUCGACACCAGAUGAUUACUACAGCUUGGUUUUUGGAACGUCUCUGAUUCUGCGACUCCUCAGGAUUACUCACCCGUGCUUCAUAGGAUUUCUGGAAGCAGCUCUCAGCCGUUCUCCAUUCCUCCUUACUGACCCACUCAUCUGCCCUCCUCACGCUACCUCUCCUGGACCCCUCUCUUGGAUACUCCCCGGCUCUCAACGUGCCCUCCCUCAUCCUGGUGCUUUCUCAUCUCCCAGUAAGUCUUUUCUCUGCACCCACCAAGUUAAGACUUACCUCCCUGGACUCACCUGUAUCUGCUCUCCCCUCCUCAGACGCUGCGCUCCCGUUUCUCGAUCCCCACUGGACUUACCAGUGCUCCUUCAGUUCCCGUUAAUAAAUAUUAUGUUUUACCAUCAAUCCAUGAGUUGCUGUGAUUCUGCAUGUCUUGGGUCAGACGUAUUCCCCAGACCAUGACACAUGGUCCAUACUCUAUUGCAGAAGGGUCCAUUCUCCAUUGGAGAGGUGUCAUGUUGGGGGGAAGGUGUCUGACCCAUGACAUGCCGAAUCAUACACUGAGACCGGAUAUGAAGAAAAAAGGUUUAUUAUAAAAAGGUUAACAAAAGGCACAGCAGGAAAAUCCAGCUGGGACUCCGGAAGAUAUCUAGGGACAGGGAGGGAGAGUUAGUGAAAGUAGAUGACCAGGCUACUGGGUGAGAGUCGAGACUUACGAUUGUGGUCCGGGGGGGGGGGCUUGAGAACGGGGAGUAGCUUGGUCUUGGGUGGUCCGGGAGGAGUUAGGGAUCAGAGACACACACUUGACGGUUAACAGGAGACUGGGGCUCCAGGUUGCUGGCAGACUGGAGGAGCUGAGCACGGGAAGGAGGACGGAUCCGGUCAGGUGGGUGGUCAGGGAGAAGUGGACGACCAGAGACUGGCUGGGAGACAGAGGAACGGGUCCGGAUGGGUUGCAGGUACGUGAUGAAGGUGGUGGUGGAUAUCUGGAGAGAAGGUAGGUUGUAAAAUCAAGCAAGCUCAGAUCAAACAUACAACUAGGAAAUUCAGGUUUGAGACUAGACUUAGGAGAUCUCGGAUACAGAUACUCAGAAGAGGCUUGGAGACGUAGAUAUCCAAGUUGAGCUAAUCAUCCAGCGAGGUGAAGAUGUCUCCCAGCAGCUUAUAUGUCCCUGGCCAGCUGAUGAGCAGAUGGGCUGCAGCUGUUCCACUCCCUGACACGCCCAUCUGCAGGAGAAGCUCAGAGAAGGCUAGACUGAGAGGAGGACUCACCCCAGACCAUGACAAGAAGGGUCCAUACCCUAUUGGAGAAGGGUCCAUACCAUCGACAUAAAUAUACUGGACAAUUCAUGUCCAUAGGCUCCAAUAACACGUUUUUGAGGCCAAAUGGGAGGUGGCCACCACCGCCAUUUUGACCGUGUCACAGGUUCCGUCAAGCCCAGACAAUUCCAUAAAAGGGAAGAGAGGUGGAGCUGAGGGUGGGGCUGUAAGGCUGGGAUCAACUGACGACACCCAGUCGAACUAGCUACAAGCUAACCUGAAGCUAACCCUGGCUAACCCAAAGCUAACGCGGAGGUGGGAGCUAAGCUAACGGAGGUAGCAACCUAGCUACAACCGGAGUUAACUGUGCACAACACCAGAGCUUCUGAGUCAGAGAUACGCCGGGCUGACCGCUGGGUAAAACCGGGUGGAACACAGAGGUCUCCGAGACCUCCACAAGCCG
rnacentral:lncRNA from 1 species